CAGCUUGUUGGAGAGGUAACGGCUCACCAAGGCUUCGACGGGUAGCUGGUCUGAGAGGAUGAUCAGCCACACUGGAACUGAGACACGGUCCAGACUCCUACGGGAGGCAGCAGUGGGGAAUCUUGCACAAUGGGCGCAAGCCUGAUGCAGCGAUGCCGCGUGCGGGAAGAAGGCCCUAGGGUUGUAAACCGCUUUCAGGAGGGAAGAAAAUGACGGUACCACCAGAAGAAGGUGCGGCCAACUACGUGCCAGCAGCCGCGGUAACACGUAGGCACCAAGCGUUAUCCGGAUUUAUUGGGCGUAAAGAGCUCGUAGGCGGUUCAGUCAGUCGGGUGUGAAAACUUGAGGCUUAACCUCAAGAGGUCACUCGAUACUGCUGUGACUAGAGUGCGGUAGGGGAGAUUGGAAUUCCUGGUGUAGCGGUGGAAUGCGCAGAUAUCAGGAGGAACACCGAUGGCGAAGGCAGAUCUCUGGGCCGUAACUGACGCUGAGGAGCGAAAGCGUGGGGAGCGAACAGGAUUAGAUACCCUGGUAGUCCACGCCGUAAACGUUGGGCGCUAGAUGUGGGGACCAUUCCACGGUUUCCGUGUCGCAGCUAACGCAUUAAGCGCCCCGCCUGGGGAGUAC
rnacentral:rRNA from 1 species